rnacentral:rRNA from 1 species
GAUCAUGGUUCAGGACGAACGCUGGCGGCGUGCUUAACACAUGCAAGUCGAACGAGAAUCUGUGGAUCGAGGAUUCGUCCAAGUGAAGCAGAGGACAGUGGCGGACGGGUGAGUAACGCGUGAGGAACCUGCCUUUCAGAGGGGGACAACAGUUGGAAACGACUGCUAAUACCGCAUGAUACAUUUGGGUGGCAUCAUCUGAAUGUCAAAGAUUUAUCGCUGAAAGA